rnacentral:lncRNA from 1 species
GAUCAGAGCUCCUGGAACUUUCUCAUCUUUUCAGCAUCUCAACCCUGUGGAAUCUUUUAACUCCCAAGUGCUACCAGGAUAUUUGCGAUGUACUCUGGAAUCCCUCUGGAAGGAGCUGUCCUCACAGAAUGAAGGAUUAGAGGAGUUAAUAAAUAAGCAAACCCAACCUUUCUCCUGGGGAAUUGUGAUCCUCUCUAGAAGCUAGGCUGUGGACCUGAAUUUGCAGGAGAAGCCAGGAGUCAUCUGUGAUGCUCUGCUGAUAGCAUAGAACAGCCCUGGCAGGGCCAGGACUACUGCACUUGCACUGCCCUUACUUUGAAGCAGAAGCUGGUGAACAUGGGGGGCUACACUGGGGAGGUGUGUGUCAGGGCCAAGGUCCUCUGCCUGAGUCCUGAGAGCAGCGCAGAGGCUUUGGAGGCUGCAGUGUCUCCGAUGGAUUACCCUGCGUCCUAUAGUUUUGCAGGCACCCAGCACAUUGGAAGCCCUGCUGCAGUCCCUCGUGAUUGUCUUGCUCGGCUUCAGGUCUCUCUUGAGUGACCUGUGCAGCUAUGAGGUUUUAAAUCUGCUCACAGCCCAGCAGUAUGAGAUAUUCUCCAGAAGCUUCCACAAGAACAGAGAAUUGUUUGUCCAUGGCUUACCUGGCUUAGGAAAGACCAUCAUGGCCAUGAAGAUCAUGGAGAAGAUCAGGAAUGUGUUUCACUGUGAGGCACACAGAAUUCUCUACAUUUGUGAAAGUCAGUUUCUGAGGAAUUUCAUCAGUCCUUAGCAUCCAAGGAAUGGACCGGAGAUACUACGCCAUAUUCCCAGUGGGAGAUGACCACUGCCACCUGCCCGAGGGAAAGCCAUUCUUGGACAUAACUGGUAGGAUUUGCAGCUGACACAAAACCUCCAACUUGGGACACCAUUCCUGAAGAGUAAAGCGGGAGACACCCUGGAAUUGUUUUGCUUCAUUUUCUACGCCCCCAACUUCCCUUGGUCCAACUUAUUCCUUCAUAGAGGAAGGGGAACGGGGUCUGGCCAGAACUAUUCCAGCCCCCAACACAGUGGGAGCUCCCCGUUCCUGCCAGCUUAAGGAAAUGCCACUCACACAACGGGGAUGUCUUUCUCCCGAGAGGUCUCUCCAUCUGACUCCAUCCUGAGAAGUGGUCUCCUUGAGUGUGGUAUAAGAGAGCCCUUUCCCCCAUCACAGGGGCCCAGGAAGCCCAAGGAUGGAGGGACCCAUGCCUGCUGCUCCUUGGGGCUAAGUCACCCAACCUGGUUCUCCUUUCCAAUGGGUCACCCAUGUCAGCAAGCCCCAGGACUGACUCGCUCCAAGCUCCUCCUUCUGGGAAUGGAAGCAUGGUGGGACAAAGCUCCUUGCAGAAGCUGAUAAACCUUAGAUCACACAGGUUUAGAUGCUCUGAUCAGUAGAGGUUCUCUCCCUCUGCUGAAGUAAUGUGAAUUUGCAAAAAUCGCUUCAAAGUAAACAAUUAAAUUGAAAUGGUGAUGGGUGCCACAGGAAUGCUUAAAUGGCAGCU